AGUGGCGACGGGUGAGUAACGCGUAGGAAUCUAUCCUUGGGUGGGGGGACAACCGUGGGAAACUACGGCUAAUACCGCAUGAUCCCUGAGGGGCAAAGGCGAAAGUCGCCUGAGGAGGAGCCUGCGUCUGAUUAGGUAGUUGGUGGGGUAAAGGCCUACCAAGCCUGCGAUCAGUAGCUGGUCUGAGAGGAUGAUCAGCCACACUGGGACUGAGACACGGCCCAGACUCCUACGGGAGGCAGCAGUGGGGAAUAUUGGACAAUGGGCGCAAGCCUGAUCCAGCAAUGCCGCGUGGAUGAAGAAGGUCUUCGGAUUGUAAAGUCCUUUUGGCAGGGACGAUGAUGACGGUACCUGCAGAAUAAGCUCCGGCUAACUUCGUG
rnacentral:rRNA from 1 species